rnacentral:sRNA from 1 species
AGCGAAGCCUGUGCUACUGUGAGUCUUGCCGGAAGCUGCGAGGAGACGAGGCCCACAGGCGCAGAGGGGAGCCUCCCCGGGAAUAUGCACUGCCCUUUGGCUGGUGCAGGUUCAACCUCAGGUACAUAUGGGCAAGGUCAUGCCUUUCCCCUACUGUUUUCCCCCUGGAGAAACGGGGAUCCCAAGAGGGUGCAUGGAAGAAGUAAUAGAACUUCCUGUCUAAGGAAAAGCCAGGAAGUGCCAGGGACUUCCUGUCUAAGGAAGAGCCUCGUGAAGCUCCUCCACUGGGGAGUCAGUGGCCUUCGUUCUAUCUGCCCCGCUUGUCCACCUCCUAGAGUGAAUCCCCGCCUGGAGGCUGGGACACUAACCAAGAAGUGGCACAUGGCAUAUCACGGGAGCAAUGUUGCCGCUGUACGGAGAGUGCUGGACCGAGGGGAGCUGGGAGCAGGUACUGCCUCCAUCCUGAGCUGCCGUCCUUUGAAGGGAGAACCUGGGGUAGGGUUCGAGGAGCCUGGCGAGAACUGUGCACCUCCUCGGGAGGAGCAGCCCCCUCCUGUGCUGCUUUCCCCCUCCCUUCAAUAUGCUGGGGCGGAGACCCUGGCCUCCAAAGUGCAAUUCCGGGACCCCAAAUCCCAGCGGACGCACCAGGCUCAGGUGGCGUUCCAGGUGUGUGUGCGCCCUGGCUCCUACACCCCGGGACCCCCUUCCGCUGCCCUUGGAGAACCUCCUGACCCUCACUUCAGUCCAGCCGAACUUGAGUGGGUCACUAAGGAGAAGGGGGCCACACUCCUCUGUGCCCUGCUGGUACGGGUGGAAUGA